rnacentral:lncRNA from 1 species
AAGCAGAAGAACGACCAACAAUGGGUGAAGUGGAGGUGCAACUUCAGUAUGCUCUGUCGUUGCAAGAACAAGCAGAUAUCACAAACAUCCAUCAUCAUUAUAUCUUAUUGUCAAAAACCAUUAUUAACCCAACAUCUUAACAUAAAAGAGCAAUAAAAACAUUCACUUCACACUUUAAUAAAUUAAUAUUUUUAUUUAUUUAUUUUGUUUUAUAUUAUAAACAUUGUAGGAUUUAGGGUUAUAAAUAUUGUCAAUAUAUGUUUUUUAUUUUUAUUUUUAUAGUAUAAAACAAAUUUUUCUGUUCUUGUAAAUCUAUAACAUGAAAAAAUACAUGUUUUUUUUAUUCUUUAUUGUUUGUGGUGUCAACAUAUCACCAUUCCUAUUAUACUCAAUAACUUUUAAUAAUUGUUUCUGAUCUAUUAAAAAAUUAUAUUUUCUAUGUGUAUAAUUAAAAAUUAUUGUAAAAAAUAUUAAGUGAUGAAAUUUUUUUGUCUUUUGAAUACAAAGAAGCUCGUGAAUAUGCGUCAUGACUUCUUAUUUAAAAUUAUUUAUAGUAAGGUUUAGACGUUCCUCUAUCAUUUUCUCUUAAAAAUUUAUAGUACCUAGAGUUUGAAGUCUUAUUUAUAAACGCAAUUUCUUUAUUUACAAUAAAAUCAUAUUUAUCGUAUAAGACAUAUCUACAAAUAUAAUAUUUUAAAAAAUUACUUUUUAAGUAAUUUUUAACGAAAUCUCACUACAAUAAAAUUAUGAAAUAGAAAUCAAUUUUAGAGAAAAAAAAAAUUAGUUGCUAUAGUGACUAAAUUAUAGACUAUUUUAGGGACUAAAUAAAUUUUUGAUUUCUAAAUUAAUUUAUAUUCUUGUUAAAUGAUUUUAAAUUGGUAUCUAAUUAACAACCAAAAUUUUUGUUACCAAAUUUAGAAUCUAAAUAAUUGGUAGUUAAAACUUUGAUAGUUAAUUAGAUACGAGAAACUAUUUAACAAUAAUAUAAACUAAUUUAGAAAUUAUUAUUUUUAAUUUUUAAAAUGUUUCUAAUUUAAUUAUUAUUGUAACUAAUGUCAAAGCCAAAGCCAAUUAAAGUAGAUACUAUUGCUGGUAAUGUUUUAUUUUAUGACUUUACUUACUGUAAUGAAAUUUUGUGAGUUAGACUAAGAUAAUACUUUCAUUUAUAGGUACUCUUGGCCACAUGGCUGAGGAGUAUUACCUGAACGGUAUCGUCUCAGAUAAAACCGAUGUUUACUCAUUUGGUAUUGUUCUAUUACAAGUUGCGUGUGGAAGAACGUAUUCUGACCUGAUAUUGGAAUUUCUGGAGAAGCCUGCUGAGGAGAUUAUUGAUUUGGAUAUCAAAGGAAAGAUUGGGCAAGAGUGUUGGAAAGUGUUUAUAGAUAUCACCCAAAGAUGUGUGAAUUAUGAAGCAGAAGAGCGACCAACAAUGGGUGAGGUAGAGCUGCAACUUGAGUAUGCGCUGUCCUUGCAAGAACAAUCAGAUAUCUCGAACAUCCAUGAUCAUUAUAUCUUAUUGUCAAAAACCAUUAUUAACCUACAUGGCCUGCAAGAUUAUUGUAAGACACCAUGAAAAGUAAAAACAUCCACUUCAUACUUUAAUAAUUAAUAUUUUAUUUUUUAAUUUAAAAUAUUAUUAUAUUAUUAUAAACACUGUCAAUGUAUGUUUUUUUUUUUUUAUGAUCUCAAAGCAACUUUUCUGUUCUUGUAAAUCUAUUAUACUCAAUAAUUUAUAAUAAUUGUUUCCGAUCUAUUAAAAAAUUAUAUUUUCCAUGUGUAUAAUUAAAAAUUAUUCUAAAAAUAUUAAGUGAUGGAAAUUUUUUGUCUUGGAAUACAAAGAAGCUCGUGAUCAUAUGCGUCAUGACUUGUUAUUUAAAAUUAUUUAUACUAAGGUUUAGUAGUUCCUCUAUCAUUUUCUUUCAAAAUUUUAUAGUACCUACAGUUUGAAGUCUUAUUUAUAAACUCAAUAUCUUUACAAUAAAAUUAUAUUUUUCAAAUACGACUUACUCACAAGUAUAAUAUUUUUAAAAUUUACUUUUUUAAGUAAUUUUCAACUAAAUCUACAUCACUUUUGUAACAAAAUCUCUCUUUUUCUUUUGAUUAAUGAUAUCUUACACCCAUUACAUUCCUUUAAUAUCUAAAUAAAUUAUUAUUUUAUUAUAAUAUAACAUUUUAUUCUAAAAAUCAGUUAUGAAAUAGUUAUUUUUACUAUAAACAUAGUGUGAAAUAGAUUUUCUUUCUGACUCAUUUACGUGUUUCCCUGUUUCAUAAGAAAGAAGUCAAAGAGUGUUUAUUAGUAUUAAAAGGUCGAUUUGGAUAUUUGUAUAUAUAUUAAAAAACAACAUUGUCUAUUAUCGUUGGAUACUUCCUCUGGGCUGAACUUGUGUGCUUGGAACGGUUGAACCCCACACAUUUGACAAACAUUGUUCAAGUUUGUGAUACCGUCUUCAUUAAUUACUCGUCAUCAAGUUACUUUCCCAGUAGCAUUCAUCUCUGUUUUGGUUUCAUUUACGCGUUUCCUUUUGAAAAAGAAGAUGAAAACGUGUUGCACAAUAGUCCAUAUGAGACUUCUUCCUUAUCCCAUCAUUCAUCUGUCAUAUAUGAAAUGGUCAAUUAGGACGGCGUUUAGAAAUAAUUUUAAUCCUUUUUGUUUGUUUCUUCCACUGUCAGUAAUGAAAUAAUUUCAUUGUUUGUAAUAAAUAUAUUAUGAGAAAGAAAUGUGUAGGGCCAAAACAUGGAAGCUCUGAGAAACUCAAAGGAAUAGGCAAUGAAAGAAGACAGGGUUGCCAAAUGUGAAUUAUAUAUUAGAAACUAGAGACAACCAUAGGAGUAAAGAAAUUAGGAACAAGAAUGUUUCUCAAAUAUUGUGGCUUCUGCCAUUCUAAGCGCACAAGUUCACGUCAGUAUACAACAAGAAUAGAAGAGUUGUGCCAUCACUUCUCUCUUGCCGAUAUUAGUAAAUCAACCAACAACUUUGAUCAGAAUAGGCUCAUUAACUUUGAAGGAUUUGGUAUCGAAGUAUAUAAAGGCUGUCUUCAGCAUGAUGGUUCUGAUUAUACAGUCACUAUAAAGCGAUUUAAUGACGAUGUGGAUAAAAGAGAGAAGCAAUGGAACCUGUGUAAGUUUAAGAAUGAAAUUGAGUUGCUCUGCCAGCUUCGUCACCCUAAUAUUAUCUCUCUUACUGGAUUCUGCAACAAAAAGAAAGAGAAGAUUGUUGUGUACGAGUACACGUCCAAUGGAUCUCUGUGUAGUCACCUGCAACGUGGGGAACUGUCAUGGAAGAAGAGGCUAGAGAUAUGCAUAGGAGUAGCAAGGGGAUUGCACUACCUUCAUGCUGGAGCAAAGCGCACCAUCGUUCACCGUAAUAUUCACCCUGGCAACAUCCUUUUGGAUGCAAACAUGGAGCCAAAGCUUUCAGAGUUUGGCCUUAGCUUACAGGGACAACGUUUUAUGUCAAAGCCAGAGCCAAUUAUAGUUGAUACUAUUCCUGGUAAUGUUUUAUUUUAUGACUUUACUUACUGUAAUGAAAUUUCUAAGAUAAUACUUUCAUUUAUAGGUAUUUUAGGCCACAUGGCUCCGGAGUAUUUAAUGAACCAUAUCGUCACAGAUAAAACCGAUGUUUACUCAUUUGGUACGGUUCUAUUAGAAGUUGUGUGUGGAAGAAUGAAUUUUGACAUGACAGAGGAAUUUCGGGUGAAGUCUGUUGAGGAAAAUAUUGAUAUGAAUAUCAAAGGAAAGAUUGUGCCAGAGUGUUGGAAAGUGUUUAUAGAUAUCCUCCAAAGAUGUGUGGAUUAUGAAGCAGAAGAGCGACCAACAAUGGGUGAAGUAGAGGUGCAACUUGAGUAUGCUCUGUCGUUGCAAGAACAAGCAGAUAUCACAAACAUCCAUCAUCAUUAUAUCUUAUUGUCAAAAACCAUUAUUAACCCACAUCCUAUUAUAAAAGAAGAAUAAAAACAUUCACUUCACACUUUAAUAAAUUAAUAUUUUAUUUUUAUUUAUUUUGUUUUAUAUUAUAAACAUUGUCAAUAUAUGUUUUUUUUUAUUUUUAUAGUAUAAAACAAAUUUUUCUGUUCUUGUAAAUCUAUAACAUGAAAAAGAUCUCUUUGACACACGGUAAAAACAUAUACAUGUUUUUUUUAUUCUUUAUUGUUUGUGGUGUCAACAUAUCACCAUUCCUAUUAUACUCAAUAACUUUUAAUAAUUGUUUCUGAUCUAUUAAAAAAUUAUAUUUUCUAUGUGUAUAAUUAAAAAUUAUUGUAAAAAAUAUUAAGUGAUGAAAUUUUUUUGUCUUUUGAAUACAAAGAAGCUCGUGAAUAUGC